rnacentral:tRNA from 1 species
UCCCUGGUGGUCUAGUGGUUAAGGACUCGGCAUUGUCACUGCUGUGGCUCGGACUGCUACUGCGGCUCGGGUUCCAUCCCUGGCUUGGGAA